ensembl:lncRNA
CCCCUCCAUCUUCUGCAGGCAGAAGCAGCAUCUGGGACAGCCAGGGCUGCCAGCAGUGCAGGAGAGCACUGCCACCACGUGCAAACCCAGCUUCUCCGCAUCCCCCAUGUCAGGAGACCAAUUUUUAAAACCCAAUCAUCUUUCUCUCUCUUCAGUCUCUCAUCUUAAUGAAACUGUCACAAGUCCAGUAGGUGGUCUGAUUGGCUUUUUUGGGCUUCACAAGCUAUAAUUUCUUCAUCACUUCAUCAUUUUUGCACUGUGAAUUACUAUUUCAGCCUGUUCUUUCACCUUCUUUUUAAUCAUCAGCUUUUUAAGUAAUACCACAUAGGUGAAAAAUACUAAUAUAACAGUCAUUUUAACAGCUGGUUAAAUUAACUCUGUGAUGGCAGGGCAUGCAGCAAUUUGUGAAGUGCACAAGUGAAGAGGUGUUCCAGUGGUGCUGAGAAGAUGGAGUACGGCUUCAGAACCUGGAAAACAAAAUUAGGUCCUAUCUACGUGGGGAUGCUGAGGAAACUCAAGCUGAGCUAAUUGAAGAAUGGGGCACUGCUAUUCUUCACAAUGAGUAGACAAUGAAGGAAAUGCUCAUAAUUGACCAGCAAAUGAUGCAAGACCUAUACAAACAGAAUAAAAGAUCUCCUGGUCUCUAAGUAAAAAAGCACUUUCUCCAAAAGUAGCAGGAGAGAGGAACAACGAGAUACAGCAUCACUUGUUUCCCUCAUUGAGUAGAGAGGGUACCAAAGGGCUGAUGGAUGUGGAGUAAUGCUUGGGUAAGAUUGACAACUAUUUCCUCCUGCUACGUACACACAACCAGCACCCACCUGUUUUCCUCCCACCCAGAGAUAUUUUUGAAAGCUUCUUCUAGCAAAUUUCUGCACCAAAAUUAAACCCAUCUAGCAGUCAGCCUUACUGUCGUGUUCCCACGUCAGCUGUGUGUCAUGACAACAGAUGACAGAAACACUGCUAUUCAGGCUUCAGAGUGCGUGUUUCUUUUCUUCUCUUUCUUUUUUUUCUUUUUCUUUUUUUUUUCUCUCUCUCUCUCUUUUUAUUAUUAUUAUUAUUAUUAUUACCUUUAAAAAG